GGGUGGCGGCAGCUACACAUGCAGUCGAGCGGUAGCACAGAGAGCUUGCUCUCGGGUGACGAGCGGCGGACGGGUGAGUAAUGUCUGGGAAACUGCCUGAUGGAGGGGGAUAACUACUGGAAACGGUAGCUAAUACCGCAUAACGUCGCAAGACCAAAGUGGGGGACCUUCGGGCCUCAUGCCAUCAGAUGUGCCCAGAUGGGAUUAGCUGGUAGGUGGGGUAACGGCUCACCUAGGCGACGAUCCCUAGCUGGUCUGAGAGGAUGACCAGCCACACUGGAACUGAGACACGGUCCAGACUCCUACGGGAGGCAGCAGUGGGGAAUAUUGCACAAUGGGCGCAAGCCUGAUGCAGCCAUGCCGCGUGUGUGAAGAAGGCCUUCGGGUUGUAAAGCACUUUCAGCGGGGAGGAAGGCGAUGAGGUUAAUAACCUCAUCGAUUGACGUUACCCGCAGAAGAAGCACCGGCUAACUCCGUGCCAGCAGCCGCGGUAAUACGGAGGGUGCAAGCGUUAAUCGGAAUUACUGGGCGUAAAGCGCACGCAGGCGGUCUGUCAAGUCGGAUGUGAAAUCCCCGGGCUCAACCUGGGAACUGCAUUCGAAACUGGCAGGCUAGAGUCUUGUAGAGGGGGGUAGAAUUCCAGGUGUAGCGGUGAAAUGCGUAGAGAUCUGGAGGAAUACCGGUGGCGAAGGCGGCCCCCUGGACAAAGACUGACGCUCAGGUGCGAAAGCGUGGGGAGCAAACAGGAUUAGAACGGGGGGGUAUAAAUACAAA
rnacentral:rRNA from 1 species